rnacentral:rRNA from 1 species
CGCGUAGGCGGCCUGAUAAGUAGGGGGUGAAAUCCUGCGGCUUAACCGCAGGGCUGCCUUCUAAACUGUCGGGCUGGAGCACAGUAGAGGCAGGUGGAAUUCCCGGUGUAGCGGUGGAUGCGUAGAGAUCGGGAAGAACAUCAGUGGCGAAGGCGGCCUGCUGGGCUGUUGCUGACGCUGAGGCGCGACAGCGUGGGGAGCAAACA